UUCCGUAGGGGUACCUGCGGAAGGAUCAUUACAGAGUUCAUGCCCGAAAGGGUAGACCUCCCACCCUUGUGUAUUAUUACUUUGUUGCUUUGGCGAGCUGCCUUCGGGCCUUGUAUGCUCGCCAGAGAAUACCAAAACUCUUUUUAUUAAUGUCGUCUGAGUACUAUAUAAUAGUUAAAACUUUCAACAACGGAUCUCUUGGUUCUGGCAUCGAUGAAGAACGCAGCGAAAUGCGAUAAGUAAUGUGAAUUGCAGAAUUCAGUGAAUCAUCGAAUCUUUGAACGCACAUUGCGCCCCUUGGUAUUCCGGGGGGCAUGCCUGUUCGAGCGUCAUUUCAACCCUCAAGCUUAGCUUGGUAUUGAGUCUAUGUCAGUAAUGGCAGGCUCUAAAAUCAGUGGCGGCGCCGCUGGGUCCUGAACGUAGUAAUAUCUCUCGUUACAGGUUCUCGGUGUGCUUCUGCCAAAACCCAAAUUUUUCUAUGGUUGACCUCGGAUCAGGUAGGGAUACCCGCUGAACUUAAGCAUAACAAUAGCGGAGGAA
rnacentral:rRNA from 1 species